UGGAUAAAAGAAAGAGACUGGAUUGGCCUUGUGGGCGGGCCACGCGUGCCGAGGGUGUGAGCCGGCGUACUGCGCGCUGUCAUAACGCUCAAAUGUUCAUACUUACCGGCUAGCAAUCGCUGUCAUGUUUUGACAGCGUACGUAUCUCCGCAAAAAUAUUAUAUUAUGCCGUCUUGCGCUAUUAUAACGUGUCGGAAAAGAAGCCAGGUGUGUAGCAUAGCACGAGAAGGAAUUUCUUUUCACCGGUUUCCAACAGAUCCAGGUGUAAGAAAAUUGUGGAUUGACACAACUGGUAGAAUUAAUUGGAUUCCUACUAAAUGUAGCAUAAUUCGUUCGCAACAUUUCGAUGUUGAUAAUUACAUAAUAACAAAGUCAGGGAAAAUAAACUUGUAACACGCCGCCUUUUCGUAAGCAUCGUACACGGUGAGCGGGAAAGCCACCGCUCGCCCGCGGUCUUACCGCGCAUGCGCCGCGCGCGACGCGCGCGCCACCCGAUCGCCGAGGGACGCGGACGCGGACGACGCCACAGUCCGCCUCCGCUCGCCAUCGCGUGAUACACGAAUCGCUAUCUCUCAUAAUCUGUGUUCUAACGUACCUAUUUACUAUGUUAGUGUAACGUUCUGAUUUCUGAUGUGAAUAUGAAUAGACAUUUAUAGUUAAAGACUUGGUUUCAUUCAAUUCGCCCACAAAAUCUCGUAACUAACUGUUUACAAACUUAAAAUUAGGCGUUUAUCCGCACAAAUAUAUCGCAUUCAGUAAGUAAACUGAUUUUAUUUUAGAAAAUUUUAUAUUGGUCUCUUUAAAUCAGUUUUUUUGUCUAAAAAUGGCGAUAUUUAAAAUAUCAUCUUUCGUAAAUUUAAAAAACGAAAAAAUUAAAUAAUAUAACCAUGUUAUUUCAAUGUGUUCUGUACUUUAUACAAAUUAUUGUAAAUGUGAGAGCCCUGUAAUUAGCUAAAAUUGAAUUAGACUAGUAGAAUGCAUUUGUGUCAGCUUAGAGUUGUCAUGCUCACUCAAAGGUCUCAUUGGCGGUGGCACGGGCGUUAGAUCGUUCGAUUCCCUGCAACAUGGUUGAGUUGGGCGGUGCUGGUGUACGUGCCAUGUUGGUGAACGGGCGCUGUCAACUGGGACUGGGUCAGCUCCAGACUGUAUUAAUUUUGUUGUUGUUAAGGUUUUUUUUUCUAUCGCUUUGACUGAAUACUAGUUUUACAUUGUUCUCACAUAGUUGAAGCAAUCGAUGCAAAGAAAAGCAAUGUAACCAAGAAUUGUAUUGUAAAUCUGAUUGAAAAAGAUUAACCUAUGGAGUUUCUUGCUCGUUCUUCUCCAUAGGAAUCUACACUUUGGAACGAGCAAAUAGCUUCACUAGAGGACUGACCGACAGACAGACGUUAUUAACAUUAUUAUAUUAGUUUUGACGUUCAAAAGUACCUUUGAUUUAAUUUUUUACUUAUUUUUAACUUAUUGAGUAAUAAAAUUGGUUUUAAAAUUCA